rnacentral:piRNA from 1 species
UGUGAGGAAAGGCACGUGUGUCUGGGU